rnacentral:rRNA from 1 species
ACAGGGAUUGCCCUAGUAACGGCGAGUGAAGCGGCAACAGCUCAAAUUUGAAAUCUGGCUCUUUCAGAGUCCGAGUUGUAAUUUGCAGAGGGCGCUUUGGCUUUGGCAGCGGUCCAAGUUCCUUGGAACAGGACGUCACAGAGGGUGAGAAUCCCGUACGUGGUCGCUAGCUAUUGCCGUGUAAAGCCCCUUCGACGAGUCGAGUUGUUUGGGAAUGCAGCUCUAAAUGGGAGGUAAAUUUCUUCUAAAGCUAAAUAUUGGCCAGAGACCGAUAGCGCACAAGUAGAGUGAUCGAAAGAUGAAAAGCACUUUGGAAAGAGAGUCAAACAGCACGUGAAAUUGUUGAAAGGGAAGCGCUUGCAGCCAGACUUGCUUGCAGUUGCUCAUCCGGGCUUUUGCCCGGUGCACUCUUCUGUAGGCAGGCCAGCAUCAGUUUGGGCGGUGGGAUAAAGGUCUCUGACACGUUCCUUCCUUCGGGUUGGCCAUAUAGGGGAGACGACAUACCACCAGCCUGGACUGAGGUCCGCGCAUCUGCUAGGAUGCUGGCGUAAUGGCUGUAAGCGGCCCGUCUUGAAACACGGACCAAGGAGUCUAACAUCUAUGCGAGUGUUUGGGUGUCAAGCCCGAACGCGUAAUGAAAGUGAACGGAGGUGGGAACCCGCAAGGGCGCACCAUCGACCGAUCCUGAAGUUUACGGAAGGAUUUGAGUAAGAGCAUGGCUGUUGGGACCCGAAAGAUGGUGAACUAUGCUUGAAUAGGGUGAAGCCAGAGGAAACUCUGGUGGAGGCUCGCAGCGGUUCUGACGUGCAAAUCGAUCGUCAAAUUUGGGCAUAGGGGCGAAAGACUAAUCGAA